AUCACUUGGGUCUCUUGUUAAAAUGCAGAUUCAGUAGGUCUGGAUGGGGUCUGAGAUUCUGCAUUUCUAACAAGCUCUGGGUGAUGCUACU
rnacentral:miRNA from 1 species